rnacentral:lncRNA from 1 species
UCUCACGUCUCUCUCUCCCCCACUCCCUUUUUUGGUUUUGUUUCACAUACUGUUUCUUUUCUUUUCUUUCUUUCCAAAGUUUUCUUCUUUUUCUUUCUUUCCCCUAUCAAUUUGCUAUCCGUCUACCAUUGUUACUUUGGUGUUAUGUCGCUAGAAUUUUGUAUCCGAUCUUGUGGGUUUUGAAGUUUUCUGCUACACUAUUGAUUUUGGUGCAAGUAUAAGUCUAUUCGUUUGGUUAGGAGGUGAAGUGCAAAUUUUUUAUAUCAUUCUGUGAAUGCUCUGUUGGGUUAAUUAUUUUAUUUUGAAUAUUUUAUUAGGAUAAUCUCGUGAGGCGUAAAAUCAUACUCUGACGUUUAGGGAAUCAUAGAAUCGUUUCUUCGAUUGGAGUAAGUGCUCUAAUGUCUUUUUAGGGACUGAAUAUAGGCGUUUGUGACUGGAAUCUUGAUUAAGUUUUGCAUAUCGUUACUAAAAUUAGUUGUGUAAAUGCUUAUUUUAGGUUUUAGGAAUCUCGUGGUUUAAUUCGCAUAAGAAAAUAUCCAAGUGUGUGGCUCGAGCCUGUAAGAAAAGCGAAUUGAAGAAAGCCGGAAUCCCUAUUGUCGACGUCACAUGACCAUAUGCCAAGUCGUACGGCAGGCCAUGUGGACGACAUGGUCUAAGUUGUUUGGGUAGUGUGGGCCACAUGGGCAUGUCGGCAAUACACGCAUGUGUAGGCCAUGUGGGCCACAUGGGUUGGGGCAUUUAGGCCGUAUGGGCCACACGCACGUAUGAGUCCAUUUUUUGAAAAUUUACACCUAGGGUUUUUUGAUUUCUGGUUUGUAUUUAGACCCUCCGUUGGGACCAUACUGUGUAAUUAAGACUUGAAAACAUGAUAUUUGAUUAUAUGAUUUUCUAUGUGAUAUGAAUAAGUUAUGUGAUAUAUAUAGAAAUAUAUAUGAUCUGUGUUGUGGCAAUUCUGAAAGCAUGAUUUGUUAUGAAAAGCAUGCAUGACAUAUGUAUUAUGAAUAUCUAUUAGUAUGUACACAUGUAUUGGGUUGGGAUAUGAUAUGACCGAGGCAAUGCUAGCAGUUUAAUUAUCUACCUUAUGUAGUGGUAUAAAACCAUAUAUAUCUGUUUUGGUAGCUCAGCCACGUAUUUAUAUUUCUGGCGGUUUUCUGCUUACUAUUAUCUUGCAGCGUGAUAGCACUAUUUUUAUAAAGUGACAGACGCUCACCUAUUGGUGUGUGGGGCUAGAUGGGUACUUGAUACCUUAAUUGGUGUGUAGGGAUGGAUGAAGAUGAUGUGUAGCAGAUGGGGGUAGAUCAGAACAUGCAUUUAAAUUUGUGUAUGUUUCUGAACAUGAUUAGUUUUUAGAUUGUACAUAUGUUUUUGUUAAUAAAAAUAUAUUUGGUUCCGUAUCCG